AUUGCGCGGGCCUCUCCACUUCUAUAAAAAUUCAGGAAAAGCGUGCCAGUAACCCUAAAAGCUGGAGACAUUUUAAAUCGAGAGCGAGAGAGUUGGGGAGAGAGACGAAGAUGGUUAUUAUCAGAGUUUUGAAGAAAUUCCAUCAGGUUAUUGUGAACAACAAGGCGAUCGAUUUAGCAUUGGUUGCUGCAGUCAACGCAGCCGGGGUGGCCCCGUUUUGGAUUUAUAGUGGCAAGAAGAGUUGAUCCCUAGAUAAAACCGAGAUCUUGUUGUAUGUAAUGGAUGUAAAUGAUCCAAUGUAGUUUAAUUCUAUUUAGUUUAAUUAAUUAAUUAUCCCCCGUUUUUAAAUAUUUUUGUAGUUGGUUUAGCAUUCUUAAUUGUUUGAUUUGCGAAAUUAUAACAUUUAAUAUGGAC